rnacentral:rRNA from 1 species
UACGGAGGGUGCGAGCGUUAUCCGGAAUUACUGGGUUUAAAGGGUGCGUAGGCGGCCCUGUAAGUCAGGAGUGAAAGUUUGCGGCUCAACCGUAAAAUUGCUUUGAUACUGCGGGGCUAGAAUUAGGAUGAGGUCAGCGGAAUGUGGCAUGUAGCGGUGAAAUGCAUAGAUAUGCCAUAGAACACCAAUUGCGAAGGCAGCUGGCUAGACCUGGAUUGACGCUGAGACGCGAAAGCGUGGGGAGCGAACAGG